rnacentral:lncRNA from 1 species
CUUUCAUAGGUCUCCUCUAUCUAAAAGCUGCAGAAAAAUGAUCAAUUUACAGGUAAGACAUCCAUAUAUUCACUGAAUCAUUCAAGUCCAAAAUCCAUAUGAUUAAAAAAAUGGUCAAAAAAUGUAGAUUGAAUAGAAGAUCAGGUCCAAAUGGAAAUUUAGAAAAUUAGUAAGUUGAUGUCCAUGUCAUGGGGUCUGCAUAUAGUUGGAAUAAAUUUGAGUUGCAAAGUAUAUACUCAGUCUUCUUGGAAAUCAUAUUAAAUGGAUUAUCAACUAGUUAAAGUGUUAGCAUUGUUUGUGAAGAUAAAACAAAAUAAUUCCCCAGAUAAGUUUUUUCCCCCUUGAGCUAGAUCUUCUUUAACUGUAAAUUGGCUAUUCUCGUAUAUAGAAAAGUAUGGAUCACACAUUAUUUUGGCUUUAUAGUUAAGAGGAUAUAUUAUAUCAUGUGAAAAAAAAAAAAAAACACCUUGUGAUCCUGUUUUAAAAUGCUUAUGUAAGGAGUUAGGGUUUUAGCUCAGCAGUAGAGUACCUGCCUAGCAUGAGCGAGGCCCUGGGUUUGAUCCUCAGCACCACAUAUAAAUAAAUAAAAUAAAAAAUAAAUAUUUUUUUAAAAUGCUUAUGUAAGCCAGGUGUGUAAACCUUAUCACUUCAGUAACAUUGCAGAUAUUUACUGCCGGAUUUCAGUUCUCGAAACUAAAAGGCUCAGGGGUCGCUCCAGAUAAACUGGGCUAACUGGGCUGCACGAAAUAACCACACAAGAGACACAAAUACCUUUUUCUUUGGGAUUGCUGUGAUGGCUCCUCUGACCUUAAGGGUCUGCAGAAAGAGAGAGAGCGAGAGCAGGCUCUGACCCCUUUUAUUGAGGAGAAGCUAUUCAAAUGAGGCAAGGGGUCAGGUUUCAGGGGGCUGAGUAUCUUCAUGAUGUCCACUUUCAGCAGGUUGACUGACACCUGGGUAGGCCAUAUCCAAGGGCACAGUAAGAGAAGGGGACACACACAGGGCAUUUCCAUGGAAGAUUUUAUCCUAAACAGGGCAAGGGAUUAUAUUACAAAGGAACAGGUGAGGGUAGCUUCAGCCGUGGGGCUGUAGCAAGAUACACGAGACACCGACCACAUUUCUGUGACUGAGCGCCUCAGCACCCAGCCAGGGAGUGUGACCCAGUCAUGUGUAAGGUUGGCCUCCCAGAAUUUACUUUGUAGAGUCUGAUACGUUGUAAGGUCCCUCAGGGGAGCAAUCAUAUUUUUCCUUUUGAAAUCAUUAUUAGUACAGGGUCUUGUAGAUCCUCAUAAAAUAUUCUAUGAAUGAAUUACUAAGAAAUAUAUAAGUGCUAUUCUAAAAUAGUUUUAUUGAAAUGCAAUUCACAUAUCACAACAGUGACUUAAUUUAAGGUGUCAGUUGAGUGGUUUUUAUUAUAGUCACAGCAUUGUACAGCCAUUGCCACUGUAAUUUUAUAACAUUUCAUCAUGCCAGGAAAAAAGGAAUUCCAGAUACCCAUUAGCAAUUACUCCCUAUUCCUCCCUAAUCUGCUUUCUGUUUAUAUGGCUUUUCUAUUCUGAACUUUUCGUAUAAAUGAAGUCAUACAAUAUGUGAUUUUUUGUAACUAGUUUCUUUUACCCAGUACAGUAUUUUCAAGGUUCAUCCCCAUUGUAGAUAUAUCAGUACCUCAUUCCUUUUUAAUGCUGAAUAAUAUUUCAUCCUGUGGAUAUAUCACAUUUUGUUUAUCCAUUUGUCAGGUCAUGGACAUCAGAUUGUUUCCACAUUUUGGCUGCUGUGAAUAAUUCUGCCACAAACAUUUGUGUAUAAAUUUUUACAUAUACAAGGGUUUUGAUUCUAUUAGGUAUAUACUUAGGAGUGGAAUUCCUAGUCAUAUGUUUAACAUUUUGAGAAACCGCCAAACUGUCUUCCAUAGUUGCUACACUAUUUUGCAAUCCCACCAGAAAUGUAUGAGUUCCUCUUUCUCAAUGUGCUUGCUAACACUUGUAAUUGUCUGCCUUUUAUUUUAGCCACCAUCAUGGGUGUGCUGUGGUACCUUAUUGUGGUUUUGAUUUGCAUUUCACUAAUGAAUAAUGAUAUUUAUCAUUAUUUCAUGUGCUUAUUGACCUUUCUCAUAUAUAUAUAACAAUCUGGUGUCCAUGAACUGACAAAUGGAUAAACAAAGUGUAAUAUAGUCACAAGAUGAAAUAUUAUUCAGUACUAAAAAAAGGAAUGAAGUACUGAUAUAUUUACAACAGAAAUCAACCUUGAAAAUAUUGUACUGUAGUACAAGAUCUAUACACACAUGCACAUAUCACUUCAGGCAUUGCAGUUGUUUACUUUGUAAAGUCUAAUAUAUAUAUAAAUAAAUCUGGAGAAAUGUCUGUUUAAAUCCUUUGCUGAUUUUUAAUUUAAGUUGUCUUUUCUUGAAUUUUAAGAGUGCUUUUUUCUGAUAUAGAUCUCUUGUCAGAUAUAUGAUCUGUAAAUAUUUUCUCUUAGUCUGCGAGUUUUUCUUUUCUUUUCCUUUUUGGUACUGGGGAUUGAACCCAAAGGGUGCUUUACCAGUAAAGGUACAUUCCAGACCUUUUUAUUUUUUACUUUGAGACAGGCUCUCACUAAGUUGCUUAGGACCUCAAUAAAUUGCUGAGGCUAACCUUGAACUUGUGAUCCUUCUAUCCUUCUGCCUUAGCCUCCUGAGUAGCUGGGAUUACAGGCAUGCAUCACCACACCCAGGUUUACUUAUUUUAUUGUGUUCUAUGAAGCACAAAGUUUUUAAGGUUGUUUGUGUGUGUGUGUGGUGCUGGGAAUGGAACCCAGGGCCUUGUGCAUGCAAGACAAGCACUCUACCAACUGAGCUAUAUCCUCAGUUUUUUAGUUUUGAUGAAUUCAAAUUGAUUUUAUCAUUUGUCCCUUAUACUUUUCUGUCAUAUUUAAGAAGCCAUUGCCUGGGGGCUGGGUUGUAACUCAGUGGUAGAGUACUUGCCUAGCACAUCUGAGACACUGGGUUUUAUCAUCAGUACCACGUAAAAUUAAAUAAAAUAAAGGUAUUGUGUCCAUCUACAACUUAAAAAAAAAAAAGAAGAAGAAGAAGCCACUGCCAAAGAUUUUCUCCUGUGUCUUUUUCCUAAGAGUUUAACAGUUUUAGUCCUGACAUGUAGGUCCCUAGUCCAUUUUAGUUCAUAUUUUGUUUGUUUUAUGAGGUGGGUGGGAGAUCAACUUUAUUCUUCUGUGUGGGGGAAUCUAAUUGUCUCAGCACCAUUUUCUUUCCCUUGUUGAAUUUUUCUGGCACUAGUUGGACUUUUUAAUACGAUUUUUGUUGCUAUUGCAAAGUUUAUUUCUGAAUCAAGUGUAUAGUAGUUACUGUACAUAAUUUUCUACACACUCAAGAGUCAAGGUGAUAUUAAGAGAUUAUCAUGAUUCUCUUGCAAGUCCCUAAUAAUGCACACACUAGUUUGAAGAAGAAUGUGCUAUUACAGGAAUCAGUGACAUUCCAGGAUGUGGCUGUGGACUUCACUUCAGAGGAAUGGCAGCUGCUUGAUUGUGAUCAGAGAUCCCUCCCUGUAUUGGGAUGUGAUGUUGGAGAACUAUAAAAACCUCAUGUCAGUGGGUAAGGACAGAGGGUGGUAACUGUGUAACUUGGAAUGUACCAAUAUAGUGCACUCCCUUUAAGACAUGUGAGAGCUGGGAACAUUCUGAAGCAUUAAUAAAAU